CUCCACCUAGUCCUGACUGGACGUCCCUCCACCUAGUCCUGGGUCUUCCCCGAGGCCUCCUCCCAUCUGGCAUGUCCCUCCACCUAGCCUGGGUCUUCCCCCAAGACCUCCCCCAGCUGGACGCCCUCCACCUAGUCCCUGGUCUCCCCAAGACCUCCCCACUGGAUGUCCCUCCACCAGUCCUGGUCUUCCCCAGACCCUCCUCCCAGCUUGACGUCACCCAUCCACCUAGUCCCUGGU